UGGGGGAUAUUGCACAAUGGGCGAAAGCCUGAUGCAGCGACGCCGCGUGGGGGAUGAAGGCUUUCGGGUUGUAAACCUCUUUCGCUAUCGAACAAGGCCCGCCUAGGGUGGGUUGAGGGUAGGUGGAGAAGAAGCGCCGGCUAACUACGUGCCAGCAGCCGCGGUAAUACGUAGGGCGCGAGCGUUGUCCGGAAUUAUUGGGCGUAAAGGGCUUGUAGGCGGCUUGUUGCUCCUGCUGUGAAAACGAGGGGCUUUACGUCGCGCGUGCAGUGGGUAAGGGCAGGCUUUAGGGGUGUGGGGGUGAGUGGAAUUCCAGGUGUAGCGGUGGAAAGCGCAGAUAUCUGGAGGAACACCGAUGGCGAAGGCAGGUCACUGGGCCAUUACUGACGCUGAGGAGCGAAAGCAUGGGUAGCGAACAGG
rnacentral:rRNA from 1 species